UACGUAGGGGGCUAGCGUUGUUCGGAAUUACUGGGCGUAAAGCGCACGUAGGCGGCUUUGCAAGUUAGAGGUGAAAGCCCAGGGCUCAACCCUGGAAUUGCCUUUAAGACUGCAUCGCUUGAACAUCGGAGAGGUAAGUGGAAUUCCGAGUGUAGAGGUGAAAUUCGUAGAUAUUCGGAAGAACACCAGUGGCGAAGGCGACUUACUGGACGAUUGUUGACGCUGAGGUGCGAAAGCGUGGGGAGCAAACAGG
rnacentral:rRNA from 1 species